UACGUAGGGGGCGAGCGUUGUCCGAAGUUACUGGGCGUAAAGAGCGCGUAGGCGGGUCUUUAAGUGAGGGGUGAAAGGUUCGGGCUCAACCCGGACACUGCCUUUCAUACUGGGGACCUUGAGUGCGGGAGAGGCGAGUGGAAUGGUCGGUGUAGCGGUGAAAUGCGUAGAUAUCGAUCGGAACACCCAUGGCGAAGGCAGCUCGCUGGCCCGUAACUGACGCUGAGGCGCGAAAGCGUGGGGAGCAAACAGG
rnacentral:rRNA from 1 species